CUCAUCAGCCAAAAAAUGUCCUAAGGGUUUCUUCAAGCUGGUUUUUCAUAAUUUCUGCACCAAAUCCGGAAAAUUCAAAUACGAAGCAAGAUCGAGAAAAAGAAAAAGUUCGGGAUUAGUAGAUUUUUUGUUACGAACAAGUGUCGAGUGCUCAGGAGCUCAAAGGUUGGAGAUUAGUCGGAGCUUUAUCACACUAUCAACCCAUAUCUUUUGGUAUUUGAAAAUGACUUAUUUUGAAAGAAUGGCAUGUAUAG